UACGUAGGUGGCAAGCGUUGUCCGGAUUUAUUGGGUUUAAAGGGUGCGUAGGCGGGCAGGUAAGUCAGUGGUGAAAUCUCCGGGCUUAACCCGGAAACUGCCGUUGAUACUAUCUGUCUUGAAUAUCGUGGAGGUAAGCGGAAUAUGUCAUGUAGCGGUGAAAUGCUUAGAUAUGACAUAGAACACCCAUUGCGAAGGCAGCUUACUACACGAUCAUUGACGCUGAGGCACGAAAGCGUGGGGAGCAAACAGG
rnacentral:rRNA from 1 species